rnacentral:rRNA from 1 species
CCUACGGGUGGCUGCAGUGGGGAAUAUUGGACAAUGGGCGAAAGCCUGAUCCAGCCAUGCCGCGUGUGUGAAGAAGGCCUUCGGGUUGUAAAGCACUUUCAGUGGGGAAGAAAGCCUUGGGUCUAAUACCCUCGAGGAAGGACAUCACCCACAGAAGAAGCACCGGCUAACUCCGUGCCAGCAGCCGCGGUAAUACGGAGGGUGCGAGCGUUAAUCGGAAUUACUGGGCGUAAAGCGCGCGUAGGCGGUCUGAUAAGCCGGUUGUGAAAGCCCCGGGCUCAACCUGGGAACGGCAUCCGGAACUGUCAGGCUAGAGUGCAGGAGAGGAAGGUAGAAUUCCCGGUGUAGCGGUGAAAUGCGUAGAGAUCGGGAGGAAUACCAGUGGCGAAGGCGGCCUUCUGGACUGACACUGACGCUGAGGUGCGAAAGCGUGGGUAGCAAACAGGAUUAGAUACCCCAGUAGUC